AAGCUCAGAUGUUUGAUUACCUGCAUGCCAAACUACUGUGUUGUUCUGAUCUGGUUUUAUUGUUAUGUGGUUUGCUAGAGGACCCCAUUGAUCCCGCCUCCUACACCAACCUGUGGUCAGCACAUUCCUUCGUAGUGCUCUUUCAUGGAUCUUUGGUGCAUAUGGUGAUCCCAAGCUAGAACCAGGGAUUUAAUUGUAGUCAGUUUCUUCCCAUUUAAGACUAUCCUGGAUAUAGCAUAGAAGCACCAGCUAACUGAAAAUACUAUUUGUAACCCUCCAAGCUAAAGGACAAUUAGCCCAACAAUUUUAUAUGACUAAAUCAUCGGUCUUCAAAAGUUUAAGUUCAAAUUAUUGAUUCCUAGUGAAUUGAGUCUUUAUUCUCAACAAGCACAUAUAUUUUCAAUUAGAAUAACAAUAUCAUAAUUCUUUCACUUAAAGUUUUGAUGUUCCCAUCAAGAUCAUAUAUCUCCAUUACAAAUCAAAGUAAAAGCUCACGAAGUUCAGGACUGUAUUAACGUAAUCAAUAGGCUAUUAUUUUUCUUAAAAGAAACAUAGUCCAUAGGCUUGAAUGUGCUCUAAAUCAUAUAAAUCUCUUGAUACCGUGCACCUGAAAUGACUCCCUAAGUAGAGGAACCUAGUGUCCUUGUUAAUUCAUGUUUUUUUUUGUUGUAUUUGGUUUUCUAGUCUUCUUUGAUUCUUCAUUAUCUUUGGAACGUUCUACAAAUCAAAAUCUGAAAAUAGUAAACAUUGUGCCAAACUGAUAAAAUUAACAAUCUCCCAAUUACUUAGUAGUUUCAUUGCCAAAUCCAUGAACAGGAAAUAUGAGGUCAGUUCCAUAUGAUGUGUAUUCUAUCAGUUCAUGGUGAGUGUUGAAGGUAGAAAUGAGAGACAGCCUGAACAGAUUGUCUCUAGUAAAAUAUGAAUUGGAACUCACAGCUAUUUUGCUGGUUCUGGAAUGGACGUAAAUUGUAAUGUCAAGUUGAUGAUCAUGAGUGGUCACGUGAUCUCAUGUCCUUCUGGUGGGAUAGAUUUUUGCUCAAGUUUAACCUGGUUUUAACUCUACAAUAAAUUAGAGCUUUAUAUUUUACUUGUUAAUAUCUCUUGCAUCUUAUUUAUAAGUAAACCCAUGGGUGGUUGUGGGUUCUCGAAAAUGACUUAAUGAUUAUUUUGCUAGAGGAGUUUUC
rnacentral:lncRNA from 1 species